GAUACUGAUGGUCUCAGUGCGGAAAGGUUGGUGGAACUGCGAUGUAGAGGUGAAAUUCGUAGAUAUUCGCAAGAACACCAGUGGCGAAGGCGGCCAACUGGUCCGAUACUGACGCUGAGGUGCGAAAGCGUGGGGAGCAAACAGGAUUAAUACCCUGGUAGUCAAGGGCG
rnacentral:rRNA from 1 species